ensembl:lncRNA
GAUUUCUCAGCUACUGCUCUAGUCCCAGGAGUUGCCCAAGUCCCGAAUAAAUUCUGUCUUGCUCAAACUUUUAAAAUUUAAUUCACCUAAGGAAUUUUCCUUUUAACAGUUUUCAUGUAGUUGGCAAGAACCAAAGUUGAACUCCAAUAGCCCAGGAGCAACCAGGCCUAGAUACUAGAAGUCUAUCCUGUUCCUGUCUUGCUGCAUCUGGGAAUUAUAGAACCCCUGACUUGGUAACUCCUGAAGAGAGGGCUCUGUGUCUACCUGGCCUGCAGGCCACUUCCUUCUGGAGCAGAGAGAUUUCUGCUCAAGGCAAAACAACAUGGCAGAAGGGCAUGACAGAG